rnacentral:rRNA from 1 species
UACAGAGGGGGCGAGCGUUAUUCGGAAUUAUUGGGCGUAAAGGGCGCGUAGGCGGCCUUUCAAGUGACGGGUGAAUUCCCUCGGCUUAACCGAGGAACUGCCUGUCAGACUGGAAGGCUUGAGACCGGGAGAGGUGAGUGGAAUUCCCAGUGUAGCGGUGAAAUGCGUAGAUAUUGGGAGGAACACCAGUGGCGAAGGCGGCUCACUGGACCGGUACUGACGCUGAGGCGCGAAAGCGUGGGGAGCAAACAGG